AUGUACCUCAUUGGUGCCCCAUCGAUGCCCCCUCCCACCAAAUGUACCCCGCCGUCUCCCAGCAGGCGUCCGAGGGCGCCGAGCGCCGGCCACGCAACGCGCGCGUGGGUCCCGCCCGAGGAGGUGGACGAGGCCGUGCGGCUCGCGGCAGAGGGCACGCUCUUCACCGUCACCUACUACCCGCGCCAGGGCGCCGGGGAGUUCGUCGUGCCCAAGCAGGAGGUGGAGGAUGCGCUGAUCGGCGCCUGGGCACCCGGCGUGCAGGUGCGCAUGAAGUUCCUCGACGCCGAGGAGCGCCGCUCCGAGUGGAACAACGGCGCCGUCAAGGCCGUCGAGUCGUCGACCCCUCCAUCUGGCGCAUGCUCGAGAGAUCCCUCGCAUGGAGUAGCCCUAGAUGUUCUAGGCCACCACCGCCAAUCCGGCGAGCCUACGCUGCGACCGUUCAUGGCGCCUGGGGGCAAUGAACUGGCAUUGCGGUCAUGGAGGGGAGGCUCAGGAGCAGGGCGACGCUGGCUGCUGCAAACUCCAAGAACGUUAUUGUCAUGGGGGGCACCAGUUUCAAUUGUGUCUUCUUGCAAGCUCCUUGUCAAUGAGAGGCACAAGUGCUCUUCCAAGCCACAGUUCAACCCCCACUUCUUGCCGCUCGCCUUCAGCCCCAGCAAGACGAUUAAAUAUUUUACCUCAAUCCAUAUAUCAGAUCUCGUGCUCAAGAAGACGAUGGUGAAGAGCAUGAUAAUGAUCCAAAUAGUAUUGAUGUUUGUACUGAAGGAAGUCCAAAAGUCUUAUCGAUGCAGGCAAGACACUUGA
rnacentral:rRNA from 1 species